rnacentral:sRNA from 1 species
AACUAGCCCUGAUGGCAGUGGCAUCCUUUUGUGCCGGGGUUCGGCACAAAAGAUAGAGCGGACAGCAGGAAUUAGC